UACGUAGGGUGCGAGCGUUGUCCGGAAUUAUUGGGCGUAAAGGGCUCGUAGGCGGUCUGUUGCGUCAGGAGUGAAAACUCGGGGCUUAACCCCGAGCCUGCUUCUGAUACGGGCAGACUAGAGGUAUGCAGGGGAGAACGGAAUUCCUGGUGUAGCGGUGAAAUGCGCAGAUAUCAGGAGGAACACCGGUGGCGAAGGCGGCAUCCUGGACCGGCAUUGACGCUGAGGAGCGAAAGCCAGGGGAGCAAACGGG
rnacentral:rRNA from 1 species